ACAGGGACACCCAUGUGGCAAGAAACUGAGACCUCCUGCUAACAACCAAAACCGAUUGGCCAGGGAUGUGAGGGAGCCCCCUUGAGAGUGAACCUUCCAACCCCACUCCAGCCUUCGGAUGAUGCAGCCAUGGCCGACUGCCUGACUGCAGCCUUGUGGAAAACCCUGAGCCGGAACCAUCCAGUUAAGUGGCUCCUGAAAGCCUGACCCACAGACACUGUGAGAGACAAUAAAUGCUCACGGCUGCUUUAAGCCACUAUGUUUGGGAGGUAAUUUUUGGCAAGCAGCAACAGAUAACGAAUAUGUAUCCCGUAUAUUGGGCAUAUCAUUACUUAGUAGUUCAGAUAUUGAAAGUCAGGUGUCACAUAACAGCAGGUUUUGUACUCUCCCCCCCAUGUAGGUUGCGAUGCCUUGAAAAAAAUCUAGCUUUUACUCUCUGAUUUAAAGGCACAGCAUCAUGGGGUACUUCCUUUCUCGCCCCCAAAUGCAGCCGUCUACAGCGAAUCUUAGGAAUACCAAGACCGGUUCCUUACAUGAAAGAUCUAUUUCAAACUUCUUGGCAUUUAAAAUGUUAAUCUUUCUAGAGCCGAAGGUUAAACCAGUCUCUAGAUUUUUCAGAGAUACUACCGAUUCACUCUGGCCACCGGACUCUUUAAUUUCAAACAGAGCAUCGUUAAGACUCCAUUGAAGCAGGACUGACUCCAAAUCAGGAAACAACUCUCAGCUUUCACAAAAACCUUUCAGAGCAGCUCCCUGGGCUCGUCUCUCCUGCUGUCCCCGUCGGAAAAUCCAUACCCACAACCUUUCCCAGCCUUUCGUCUGCCUCUGGAGAAUCAGGGAAGCCAAUGGGAGCAUUGUUCGCUCGACAACCGGGCUGUCCUUCAGGGUACAGACGCGCGGUGGGCGUCAUUGACCACAGGAGCGUAUGAGAAAGGAAGCCUUAGGUAUUGUGCCUCAUGGCACAGGUUCUGGUGGCCCCUCCCUCGGGAGGCUUGGCUUGGGAUCGCUUCUGUUUUGCGGUACCGUGUGUAACCUUGGCAUGCAAUCAGCAGAGAAAAUAUUCAUUAUUGCCUGACUGUCUGCCGAAGACAAUUUCAAUUAUUCUCGCAUUUCAAUGGAUGAAGAAGCCCUUUAGGCUGGCCCCGGAGAUUAGACUUACAGGCUCCGUAAAUUAGGAAAGUUACAAUCAGUAUAUUAUCUGGCAGGCAGCUGUGGGAUACGGCACAGCAGGCAAAGAGAGACAAAUUGCUAUAUUCCGGUCGCGGUUUUGAUAUAUCAAUUUUCAAGUUUAACACACACAUUUGGGAAAGAAUGAUUUUGCAUUUCUUAAAUCACUUUUAACUGCCUGCACUCGAAGUUUCUGAACCUGUAACUUGAAUAGCCGGCUUGCCUUGCUGACGUUUUGUUUUAAAGCCCAAUUUCAGCUCGGAAAAAAUAUUGCUGAGGACAGAGCUUGGGAAUGAAUCUUUCCUAAAGUUAUUCAAAUAAUAUAAUAUAUGGCAGUUAAGCAGAAUAUUCCAUUUGCAGAAAUGUGAAUGAUGUCCCAUAUAAAGGCUUUUUCUUUAA